rnacentral:rRNA from 1 species
AUGAACGCUGGCGGCGUGCCUAAUACAUGCAAGUCGAGCGAACAGACGCGGAGCUUGCUCCUCUGACGUUAGCGGCGGACGGGUGAGUAACCCGUGGAUAACCUACCUAUAAGACUGGGAUAACUUCGGGAAACCGGAGCUAAUACCGGUAAAUAUAUUGAACCGCAUGGUUCAAUAGUGAAAGACGGUUUUGCUGUCACUUAUAGAUGGCUCCGCGCCGCGUUAGUUAGUUGGUAAGUUAACGGCUUACCAAGGCAACGACGCGUAGCCGACCUGAGAGGGUGAUCGGCCACACGGGAACUGAGACAGGGUCCAUACUCCUACGGGAGGCAGCAGUAGGGAAUCUUCCGCAAUGGGCGAAAGCCUGACGGAGCAACGCCGCGUGAGUGAUGAAGGUCUUCGGAUCGUAAAACUCUGUUAUGAGGGAAGAACAAAUGUGGAAGUAACUAUGCACGUCUUGACGGUACCUAAUCAGAAAGCCACGGCUAACUACGUG